rnacentral:rRNA from 1 species
UGAGGAAUAUUGCACAAUGGGCGCAAGCCUGAUGCAGCGACGCCGCGUGUGGGAUGAAGGGGCUACGCCUCGUAAACCACUGUAGCCCGGGACGAAAAACGCCUUAGAGGCGUUAGACGGUACCGGGAAAGUAAGGGUCGGCUAACUACGUGCCAGCAGCCGCGGUAAUACGGAGGGGGCUAGCGUUGUUCGGAAUUACUGGGCGUAAAGCGUACGUAGGCAGAUGCGCAAGUUGGGGGUGAAAUCCCGGGGCUUAACCUCGGAAUUGCCCUCAAAACUGCACGUCUUGAGACCGAGAGAGGUAAGGGGAAUUCCUAGUGUAGAGGUGAAAUUCGUAGAUAUUAGGAAGAACACCAGUGGCGAAGGCGCCUUACUGGCUCGGUACUGACGCUGAGGUACGAAAGCGUGGGGAGCAAACA